CACAGGAGCGCGCAAGGCUUGCUACGGGCAGAGUUGUCCCGGUGGCCCGGAGUUCCAGCCUCUGUCCAGCAUGGCCUCACUGAGUUCGCGGAGCUUCUAAUGCCACGCGGGCGUCAGGUGCAUUCAUUUCACCCCGGAGAUCUGAAGAAGAAGAGUUUAUCUGCAUUCCCCUUCCUUCCUGCUUCCCACCUCCAAAGCCCGCCACUGAUCCUGCGAAUAAGUUUGCCCUGAAGUGUGGAAUAUCCCAUUCCUGCACAACUCGGUUCUACACCCCCUCCCCCGUGGGAUUCAGAGUGGCAAGAGGAAAAACAGCAAGUCCAACUCCACAGGUUUGUAAGGAGCAGCCAGCUUUGAUUUGCCCUGCACGUCAUAGCUCAGAAAGUUUUGCUGCUCAUACAAUCCUCAGCAAAGACCAUCCAUUCAUUCCGGGAUUCCCCCAGCUCAUGGACACAGGUCGGUCUCUAACUACAGACAGCCUUCUUCUGGAAACUCUCACCAGCCUGAUUUCUAAACUCCCAGUCCACCUUCACAUUGUUUGCCUGUUUUCAGUGCCUUUCCUCUGCAGAUCUCUCAGUAGGCAGCCGUAAGGAGUCAGCAAAGGCUAACACGGCUGCCCUCAGCUGGAAACCUAGUGUAGUGCCUAUUACAUUUCUCCUGGAACCACUCCUUGUGAGAAAGGCAAUUCAAACUCUAUCUUAAGUGAGCAUCUACUUCCUUUUCAUCUGAGUUAUAAAAGAAUAGUGCCCCCUUUGGCUCAAAUCUAUGCAAUGUGGAGGAAGAAAAGGCAAGAGCUAAUCCUUGCCAUGAAUUCAUCAUUGUCAUCGUCACCAUUUCACCAUUAUCAGCAACAGACUCUAGAAACAACUUGGUGAAGGCUUGAAAAUAGAGGGUAGAGCAGAUAUAGGGCAGCCUUCUCAAGGAUAUCUCCUCCUUUUUUUGAAAAGAGAUGUUCUCUUUUUCUUGCAUCUUUAUUCUCAGUCCAUUUGCCCUACAGCCUCUGUGCUUCCAAGAUGAAGUUCUGAUAAGUGUCUGCUGUGAUAAGAUAAUAAGAGAGUCUAUCUAUGUAGCUUGGAAAUAAACACUGGAAUUGCUUCUCAAAAAUCCA
rnacentral:lncRNA from 1 species